ACAAGUAUACUAGGAAAAUAUGUUAGGAAUUUUUUUAUAUUAAAGGUCAAGUGUAAUAAAAAUAGAUUUGAAAAUAAAGUUUAUAAUUCAUUAAAACCCAUUUUGAAAAGUUUAUUGAUGUGUUUAUUUUUUUUUAAAGUCCAGGUAAAUGCGCAAAAUACCUAUUCCAAAAUCGUUGUUUAUAGAAACGAAUGAAGGGAUUGUCACCCUUUCUUAUGACGUCAUCUGAGACAAUUGUAGUUGUUUACGCCUGUAUAUCAUCAUUUUAAUUUCUGUGAGAAAUUGCCAGUUUUAGCAACACCGUGGAUAGUGACGAUGAAAUACCGUAGAUACACUUGAGUUUAGGGAUUCAACCUUUAUAAUGAUGUCCAGUUAAUCAUCACUUUGCACUUUGUUUGGAGUCAAACAGGAUGAUGGAAACCUGAUCCUCGUUAAUUAAAGUGUCACUCACUGAUCCUCGUGGCUUGUCACAAAUCUCAGUGUCUCUUUUCAGUUUCAGUAUCCAAAUUCUUCGAAAUUUAGUAUCUUUUGGGAAAAGAAAUAUACUUAAUCCCUGUCCCGAUUUCACAUUGCAGUUCAAAGCAGCGCAUUGUACCAUAAAUACAGGACUUUUCUAUGUAAACACUAUAAAACCCUAUCAAUGCAGUCGAAAGUUGUCUCAGAUGACGUCAUAAGCUACGAGCGAUAACUCACGUCACAACACAUUUAUCGAUCGCUCAGGUAAAAGUUUGAUAGCGCCAUGUAAUUCACGCCAAGUGAUUUUUAUCAAUAUUGCCAUGGAAAUUAAUCCAUAAGUGUACGACAGACAUUUUUCUGUAUAAAACUCAAGUUUUAGGAAAAUCACCGUACUUGACCUUUAAAUUUAUGAGACACACAAGAAUACAACAUUUUCUCUUUCUUCCUUUGAAGUUUGUGUCCAUCAGGCCGUCAUGUUUUCUAAUGCCGACUACUUCCGUAUAAGGAAAUUUGGGCGGACUUAUACAUAUGGACCAAUGAGAGUUUCUGUUGCAUUUCGCAAUUGUAUUACAAACAGAUUCAAUUGUGUCGUCACACAACGCAAUACUCUAUCGGCCAAAGCGUUCAAAUUCAAAGGUGAAUUGUGAUAAAAAGUAAUAAUGAAGAACUGCUCAUCCUUAUUAUUCUGAUCUAAAUUGAAAUGCUGAGGACUACGAAAAGUCACAUGCGGGACACAUAGAUGUAAUGAAGACCAAGAAUUUUUUGUACAGGCAUAUCAUUUGUCAGUAAUUACAAUUAAUUUCUACAAAAAUUUCUUAAAGAGACACUACAGCUCAUUUUGCUUAAAAAUCAUGAAAUGACAAUUUUCC